rnacentral:rRNA from 1 species
AGUGAACGCUGGCGGUAGGCCUAACACAUGCAAGUCGAACGGCAGCACAGUAAGAGCUUGCUCUUACGGGUGGCGAGUGGCGGACGGGUGAGGAAUACAUCGGAAUCUACUUUUUCGUGGGGGAUAACGUAGGGAAACUUACGCUAAUACCGCAUACGACCUACGGGUGAAAGCAGGGGAUCUUCGGACCUUGCGCGAUUGAAUGAGCCGAUGUCGGAUUAGCUAGUUGGCGGGGUAAAGGCCCACCAAGGCGACGAUCCGUAGCUGGUCUGAGAGGAUGAUCAGCCACACUGGAACUGAGACACGGUCCAGACUCCUACGGGAGGCAGCAGUGGGGAAUAGUGGACAAUGGGCGCAAGCCUGAUCCAGCGAUACCGAGUGGGUGAAGAAGGCCUUCGGGUUGUAAAGCCCUUUUGUUGGGAAAGAAAAGCAGCAGGUUAAUACCCCGCUGUUCUGACGGUACCCAAAGAAUAAGCACCGGCUAACUUCGUG